rnacentral:rRNA from 1 species
GAUGAACGCUGGCGGCGUGCCUAAUACAUGCAAGUCGAGCGAACAGACGAGGAGCUUGCUCCUCUGACGUUAGCGGCGGACGGGUGAGUAACACGUGGAUAACCUACCUAUAAGACUGGGAUAACUUCGGGAAACCGGAGCUAAUACCGGAUAAUAUAUUGAACCGCAUGGUUCAAUAGUGAAGGACGGUUUUGCUGUCACUUAUAGAUGGAUCCGCGCCGCAUUAGCUAGUUGGUAAGGUAACGGCUUACCAAGGCAACGAUGCGUAGCCGACCUGAGAGGGUGAUCGGCCACACUGGAACUGAGACACGGUCCAGACUCCUACGGGAGGCAGCAGUAGGGAAUCUUCUGCAAUGGGCGAAAGCCUGACGGAGCAACGCCGCGUGAGUGAUGAAGGUCUUCGGAUCGUAAAACUCUGUUAUUAGGGAAGAACAAAUGUGUAAGUAACUAUGCACGUCUUGACGGUACCUAAUCAGAAAGCCACGGCUAACUACGUG